AUGGGUUGUAAUCGUGCACCAGGGCCGGAUAACAUUCCAGCAGAGUUUUAUAUGCACUGUUGCGACUUUGUCAAGAGUGACAUCAUGCGCCUGUUCGAAGAUUUUCAUUCGAGCAAACUUGACAUAGCCCGCCUGAAUUAUGGGGUAAUUACACUUAUUCCAAAGAUGAAAGGGGCAAAGAAAAUACAAUAGUACCGCCCCAUCUAUCUCCUAAGAUGUCCUUAUAAGCUUAUCACCAAGGUUUUGGAUAACCGGGUGGCGAUUUUUGCUGAUAAAUUGAUUAGCAAACAUCAAAAUGCUUUCAUUAAGCACAGGAACAUCAUGGAUGGUAUCCUUACAUUGCAUGAAGUUCUACAUCAUACGCACCAGAAAAAAAGAGUUGGGGUGGUGCUAAAAUUAGACUUUGAAAAAGCCUAUGACAAAAUUGAUUGGGAAUUCCUACUAGAAUGUCAUCGAGAUCGAGGUUUCGGUACAACAUGGUGUGGCUGGAUAAAAAAUAUUCUUCACAAUGGCAUUGUCAGUGUCAAACUGAAUAAUGAAAAAGGCCCCUAUUUCCAGAGCCACAAGGGGGUGCGUCAAGGCGACCCCUCCCCUUUUCUCUUCAACCUGGCAGUUGAGACAUUGUCAAAAAUGAUCUGCAAU
rnacentral:rRNA from 1 species